AGACAUAUUCUAGUAGGACAAUGAAAACUGAAAGGCUAAAAACUCACCCAGCUGGUAAGCAACUGAGCUAGGACUGGAACCAGGUCUCGCCCUGAGGCCCAAACUGGGCACAUCGGAGGGUGAUUUAACCUUCAGGCAUGGCUGGAUCCAGCAGCCCAACAUGAUGCCAUCGAAAAUGUUUCUCUCUCUCUCUUUCUCUGCACUACCUCUUCUGUGUUGACUGCUUUUUCAGGGACAAGGGAGAUGAGAUACUGAUUCUCCAGCACCCAUCUGUGAUUGUGCUGCCCGGGGCACUGACCGCACAGCACCUCUGUCUGCCCCAUGCAAGGUCUGAGAGCAUUAGAGAAAAUCCUCAGAUGGAGCAUCUCAAGUGCUUGAGGGGCUGUCCAGAGGGAACUGGGACCACGGAAGGAGAGGCUGUCCUGUGGGUGCCGGAGUCAUGGAGAAGACAGAGCCACUGCCUCCCCGAGAUGCCUCCCAAAACACGGUGAAAGACAUUUCCUCAGCAGACACUUGAGGGCACUUCCUGAGAGCAAGUGUUGAUGAGGAGCAGAAGGCACGAGAACACUGGGAAGAAGCGAGGUGCCACCCCAUAGAAAGAGACCCCAGCGUGGAGCCAGACAGACCCGGAGUCAAGUCCCGUAUCUGCCACUUGCCUGCUCAGGGUGACAACCUAGAAGGUGCCACCAUGUAAAGGAGGGACAUGGCCAGAGGACCCUGCCUGGUACCCUAGGAUGCCCAGUACCUUCCCCUCCAGAGGCUGUCAGAAGCUGUUUCCACAUCGCCCACCUCCCCCCUGAAGCCCUGAGAGAGGAGGGACAGACAGAUGGGCUUAGCGGUGAGCCCCAGAAAAUUCAGAAAUGGGGCCAUAACCUGGGUCAGCUGACCCUUCAACCACCACACCGAGGCAACCCAAAGGUGCCUGGACUAUCACUCAGGGGACCUUUAUGGGAAAAGAAAAACUCUAGAACUCUUCUGAACACCUUCCUACCUCCCCGCGCCUGUUACUCUGUUGGUUAUGGCUUUGGAGACAGGCAGAACUGACUCCGAGAUGCGGUUCUAGAACUUCCUAGGUGUCUCCUCAUGUUCUUCAACCUCCCCGAACUUCAGCUUCCCCAGUCGUAGGAUGGGUGCCAUGAUGUCUCUCGGACAGGGUGUCCUCAGGGAUCCCACUCAGCACAGAGUAGGUGGCUGUCCUUUUGAUGGUGGUGGUGUUAUGAUGAGGAGCGGGAGGAAGAAGGGGACACACCGCUGAGGGAGAAGGCAGGCUGGGUGCCACAAUGGCACGCUGCAUGGCCACCACUCCCUGGCAGAGCUGCUCCUUGGGUUAACUUCCUCCUGUCUCCCUCUGCCCCGCUGCUCCCGCCCACCCCUUCCUCCCCAUCCUGCAAGGGUGAAGUUAGCGUACCACUGGGGUUAGCAGAAGGUACAAACUGGAUUAGAUGUUAAAUCAAUUUGGCCUUCCUCCCCUGGGAUGGCACAAGCAGGUUCCAUAUGAAUAAUGAUUUGUCUGAGGCAGCAAACUGGAUUAUUUGAUCAAAAAGGGGAAAAAACAACUCAUGUUCAUUUUUUAAUAAUGGCUUUUGCAUCCAGUCUCCGAGCUUGGCUGAGAGGGGAGGGCAGGGGUGGCUGGCGGAUGAGCUGGAAGAGAGACAAUAACAAAACGGUCUUUCCUCUGAGAGCCUCUGUUCCCACCUCAGACUCCAGUGGGGGCUGCCAAAUCCGGCCCCGAAGAGGGGGUUUCUGUUCCUACAUCGCUGAAUUAAAAUGGGAAGAAUAAGAGCAUUUAUCCCAGGCAUGCCCUGCUCUGUCCCUUCGCAUUUUCAUAGCUUGUUUCAUCUUACCCUGGCGUAGGCUCUAAAACUCAAUUCGGUAGAUGAAGAAAUGGAAGCUUCUAGAACGGAGUUUCUCAAACUCGGUGCUGUUGACGUUGGGGGCUGGACAGUUCUUGGGCGUGGGGGCCAUCCUGUGUGCUGUGGGAUGCUGAGUAGCACCGCUGACCCCUACCCAGCAGAUGUACCCUCCCCCCAAGUUGUGACAACCAAAACUCUCUCCAGCCGAGCGUCGCCCGUGGGACAGAAUCCGUGCUGGUUAACAGUUUCUGUUCUAAAUUGGUGAAGUGAGUAGUAGAUCGCACAAGGAAUGAUGAGUUUACCUGGGAUUCAGACUCAGGAAGUCCCCCUCCCCCCCAUGUCUGCUCCUGACUGCUUACCCAUAUGAGCGAGCUCCGACCCUAUGAGGGAGGCGUUCAAGUGCCAAAGAGAGACACCGCCGGUGUUCUGGCAAGUUCCCAAGAGGGACAGGCAGUGUUUCAGGAGAGCAAGGCAAGGCUUUGUAGAAUGAGGCUGGCUUUCUACCACGAUAUCAGGAAACACUCACACUGUACCCCAUUCGUACCAAUUGUUAACCAACUCAGAAAGAAUUCCUCUCUUCUCCUUAGCAGGCCUGUAUUACCAUAGGACCACCACCACGAGCAAACAAACACCACUCAGUUAGUAGGAUUGAUUGAAAUUUGUCAACAAAAUCAUGGUGCGAUGGUUUCCCAUUGUGGAAAAUGUGUGUUUUGUUUUUCUUUUUUCUGUGUAUUUACACGGUAAUACGCUCCGUUGGAGCUCUUGCGCACAAAGUCGGACUUUUCUGAUCCUGUGCUAGGGAAUCCACUGUGGAAACUGCUUGCUUAUCCACUAGGAGAGCUGUUCUCUGAGGAGGAGCUGCUAGAUGCUUCUGGAGGUUGAGCACAGACUGCAGAGCUAUGGGGCCUGGGUUCGAAUCCCAGCCCUGCCUCUUAUUGGCUGUGUGACCUUGGGUGUGUUACUUAACCUCUCUUUGCCUUGGUGUGUUCAUUUGUAAAAUAAAAAAUAGCGAAAAUAAAUGAAUAAUUGUACCUACCUUAGCAAGCACUGACAGUUCAUUCGCAUAAAGGAAUUAACAUAAAUGUG